GAUGAACGCCGGCGGCGUGCCUAAUACAUGCAAGUCGAGCGAACGGACGAGAAGCUUGCUUCUCUGAUGUUAGCGGCGGACGGGUGAGUAACACGUGGAUAACCUACCUAUAAGACUGGGAUAACUUCGGGAAACCGGAGCUAAUACCGGAUAAUAUUUUGAACCGCAUGGUUCAAAAGUGAAAGACGGUCUUGCUGUCACUUAUAGAUGGAUCCGCGCUGCAUUAGCUAGUUGGUAAGGUAACGGCUUACCAAGGCAACGAUGCAUAGCCGACCUGAGAGGGUGAUCGGCCACACUGGAACUGAGACACGGUCCAGACUCCUACGGGAGGCAGCAGUAGGGAAUCUUCCGCAAUGGGCGAAAGCCUGACGGAGCAACGCCGCGUGAGUGAUGAAGGUCUUCGGAUCGUAAAACUCUGUUAUUAGGGAAGAACAUAUGUGUAAGUAACUGUGCACAUCUUGACGGUACCUAAUCAGAAAGCCACGGCUAACUACGUGCCAGCAGCCGCGGUAAUACGUAGGUGGCAAGCGUUAUCCGGAAUUAUUGGGCGUAAAGCGCGCGUAGGCGGUUUUUUAAGUCUGAUGUGAAAGCCCACGGCUCAACCGUGGAGGGUCAUUGGAAACUGGAAAACUUGAGUGCAGAAGAGGAAAGUGGAAUUCCAUGUGUAGCGGUGAAAUGCGCAGAGAUAUGGAGGAACACCAGUGGCGAAGGCGACUUUCUGGUCUGUAACUGACGCUGAUGUGCGAAAGCGUGGGGAUCAAACAGGAUUAGAUACCCUGGUAGUCCACGCCGUAAACGAUGAGUGCUAAGUGUUAGGGGGUUUCCGCCCCUUAGUGCUGCAGCUAACGCAUUAAGCACUCCGCCUGGGGAGUACGACCGCAAGGUUGAAACUCAAAGGAAUUGACGGGGACCCGCACAAGCGGUGGAGCAUGUGGUUUAAUUCGAAGCAACGCGAAGAACCUUACCAAAUCUUGACAUCCUUUGACAACUCUAGAGAUAGAGCCUUCCCCUUCGGGGGGGCAAAGUGACAGGUGGUGCAUGGUUGUCGUCAGCUCGUGUCGUGAGAUGUUGGGUUAAGUCCCGCAACGAGCGCAACCCUUAAGCUUAGUUGCCAUCAUUAAGUUGGGCACUCUAAGUUGACUGCCGGUGACAAACCGGAGGAAGGUGGGGAUGACGUCAAAUCAUCAUGCCCCUUAUGAUUUGGGCUACACACGUGCUACAAUGGACAAUACAAAGGGCAGCGAAACCGCGAGGUCAAGCAAAUCCCAUAAAGUUGUUCUCAGUUCGGAUUGUAGUCUGCAACUCGACUACAUGAAGCUGGAAUCGCUAGUAAUCGUAGAUCAGCAUGCUACGGUGAAUACGUUCCCGGGUCU
rnacentral:rRNA from 1 species